GGGUAGCGUGUGGAGGACAGACCCUAAACCUGUGGAGUCCGAUUCUGACUCCAGGUGGUCAGUGUCAGAAUCAAAUGGCAAUGUCUUAGUGGGGAUUGAAACAAAAUACUGACAAAGUCAUCUUAGUAUUUCUCUUGUUAAGGAAAUUUUUAAUGACUUGAUUUCAGUUAGUUUAAAUUUGUUUGCUCCUUGGGAGGGCAGGGGUGGGGGUGGGUCCUAACAAUUUGAAAAAAGGUUAAGAAGUACUCUCUGAGAGGAGACAUGGACACAGUGGAACUCGCUGUAAUUGCUGAUGAGCAGCCAGGCCAUUGAGACGGGGAACAGUAUAGCUUACAGCCGUGUGGCUCCAUUUUUGUGAACUUUAAGGGCAUUUUUAUAGUCUCUGCAGACUUAUUUGUGAGAAAUCUCAUUAAUCAAGAUGACUAAGUCCAAGAAUAAAUAAUUGAUUUUAAUUAUAGAAAUCUUAUGUUACAAAUUGGGGAAGGGUUAUCUGACUGUUGAUAUUCAGAAACACAUGAGAUUGUAGAUAAAAGUCUUUGAACAACCAAAAUACGAAGUUUGUGCACUUAUAAAAGAAUCUCUCAGGAUCUCUUUACCCUUACUUUCAAUAAAUUUAAAAGUACAAAUGUGAUCGUUGUAAAAAGAAGGUAGGUAAAAUAGAGGUAAUAACUAACCACUAGGUGGAGGUAGAAGAACAGCUAUUAUCUGCAGCGUCAUUUUUGUAUCAUACUCUGAAACACUUGUGAGAACAAGCACAGCCAUCUACUGAAGCAAAUGUUGAUGACCUUGAUCAUUAAAAAUUCUAAACAAGAAAAGUAAAGUAGCACUUUAAAGAGACUUCAAAGCUAUUGAUGCACCAUUCUAGCAUUUAAAGUGUUAAGUCCCAGUCAUCUAGAAAUUUCACCUAUUUAGGGUUAAAAUUCGCGUGGUGCCAGGUGUUAAUGUGAUAAUCAUACCUGAGAAAUUUUAAAUGUCAAAAAAAUACUAUUUUCUGUAUAAAAUGGCCAUUGCUGCAUGGUUUAUUUUAGUCUCAAAACUGGCCAAGAAUAGCCUUGUUUUCUGAAUUGGAAAUAGUUCCAAUUUACAAUAAUGCUGCAAGAAUGGUGAGAUAAACCCCAUAUGCAUUUCACCUCUGUACAGCAAGUGCUAACGUCCUGCCACGUUUGCUUUAUCACAGAAGUGUAACUUGCUUACAGCUUGCCUCUUGAUCCCCAAAUGCUUAAGCAGAUUUCUUUCCAAAACAAGGACCUUUAGUUUGUCCCGGUGUCGGUGGUGGUAACUUUGACCACAUGGAUGCAGUGAUGCAGAAUCACAUUUAUUUUUUCAGUUAACAAGUUUUAAUUGUUGAUUAAUUUUAACAUGGGGAAGUUGUGUGUGAAUAUGUAAAAUACCCGUAAAAUUUGCCAUCAGAGAGGACAGUUUUUAAGUAUGCAGUUGGUGGCAAUGCAGUAUUCACUUCGUUGUGCAGUAAUCACUACUUUCCAUCUCCAGAAAUCUCAGCUUGCAAAACUGAAACUACCCUUUGGACAGUCACUCCUUUCUCCCCUCUCCCCUUAGCCUGGCAAGCGCCAUUCCACUUUGUCUCCAGUUUUGGCUGCUCUGGGUAUCUCAUGUAAGUGGAAUCAUACAUUACCUUUUUUGACUUGAUCACUUAGCAUACUGUUCUCAAGGAUCAUCCAUGUUGUACCAUUCAUUUUAAGGUUGAAGAAUAAUCUAUGGUCUGUAUAUACCACCUUUUGUCAAUUCAUUUUGUUGACAGACACUUGGGUUGCUUCCACCUUUUGGCCAUUGUGAAUAAUACUGACAUGAACAUGAGUAUACAAAUACUUCUUUUGAGACCCUACUUUCAGUUUUUUCAAGUGUAUACCCAGAAGUGGAAAUGGUGGAUCAUAUGGUAAUUCUAUGUUUAAUUUUUUGAAGAACUGCCAUACUGUUUUCCAUAAUGGCUAUAUCGUUUUACAUUCUCACCAACAGGACCAGUUUGUCCACAUCCUCACCAACGCUUAUUUUCUGUUUUUUUGAUAGUAGCCAUCCUAAUAGAUGUGAGAUUAUAUUAUAUUGUAGUUUUGAUUUGUAUUUCCCUAAUAAUUAGUAGUACUGAACAUUUGUAUUCUUUUGGGGGCUUUGGAUAUCUUCUUUGAAGAAAUGUCUUUUCAGAUCCUUUGCCCAUUUUAAAAGUAAGUUUUUCCUUGUUGAGUUGUCAGAGUUCUCUAUGUAUUCUGGAUAACUUUAUUAGAUUUGCAAUUUUUUCCCCAUUUCUUGGGUUGCAGUUUCACUGUUGUACCCUCUGACACAUAAUUGAUUUUAAUUUUGAUAUAGUUCAGUUUAUUUGUGUCCUCUUUAAUUGCCAGUUCUUCUGUGGUGUCCGAGAAAUAAUUGUCAGAUCCAAUGUCAUGAAGCUUUUCUUACAUUUUUUAUAAGAGUUUUAUCUCUUGUAUUUAGGUCUUUGAUCCAUUUUGAGUUAACUUGCAUUUGAUUUAAGGUAAUUGCCCUGGCUAGGACUUCUAGUACUGUUUGAUUAGAAGUCUCAAAAACAGGCAUCCUGGGACUUCCCUGGUGGUCCAGUGGUUAAGAAUCCGCCUGCAAUGCAGGGGAUGUGGGGUUGAUUGCUGGUCGGGGAGCUAAGACCUCACAUGCCACAGAGCAACAAAGCCUGUGCACUACAGCGAAAGAUCCUGCCUGCUGCCACUAAGACCGGAAGCAGCCACAUCAGUCAAUCCAAUAAAUAUUUUUUAAGUGGGCAUCCUUAAUUUUUCCUGAUCUUAGAGGAAGAGCUUCUGAUUUUCCACCACAGAGUAUGAUGUUAUCUGUGGGCUUGUCAUGUAUGGCCUUUAUUAUCUUGUUAUAGUUUCCUUCCGUUCAGUUUGUUGAAUGUUUUUUUAUCAUGAAAAGAUGUUGAAUUUUGUCAAACACUUUUUCUGCAUCAAUUAAGAUGGUCAUGUGGUUUUUACCCAUUCUGUUAAUGUUGUGAUGUAUUACACUAAUUGAUACUUGUGUUUUGAACCACAAAGUACAUAAUUCUUUUAUGUACUGUUGAAUUUUGUUGGCUAAGAUUUUGUUGAGGAUUUUUUAAAAAAAAAUUUACUAUGGAAAACACCAUGAUUUUGUUGCUGUCAUUAACAUUAGUCACAAGGUGAUUAAAAUUUUUGUUUACCUCUAUAUUAAUGAGAGUCGGACUGUGAAGAAAGCUGAGUGCC